rnacentral:rRNA from 1 species
AUGCAGUCGAACGGCAGCACGGAGCUUGCUCUGGUGGCGAGUGGCGAACGGGUGAGUAAUAUAUCGGAACGUACCCUAGAGUGGGGGAUAACGUAGCGAAAGUUACGCUAAUACCGCAUACGAUCUAAGGAUGAAAGUGGGGGAUCGCAAGACCUCAUGCUCGUGGAGCGGCCGAUAUCUGAUUAGCUAGUUGGUAGGGUAAAGGCCUACCAAGGCAUCGAUCAGUAGCUGGUCUGAGAGGACGACCAGCCACACUGGAACUGAGACACGGUCCAGACUCCUACGGGAGGCAGCAGUGGGGAAUUUUGGACAAUGGGCGAAAGCCUGAUCCAGCAAUGCCGCGUGAGUGAAGAAGGCCUUCGGGUUGUAAAGCUCUUUUGUCAGGGAAGAAACGGUGGUUUCUAAUACAGAUCACUAAUGACGGUACCUGAAGAAUAAGCACCGGCUAACUACGUGCCAGCAGCCGCGGUAAUACGUAGGGUGCAAGCGUUAAUCGGAAUUACUGGGCGUAAAGCGUGCGCAGGCGGUUUUGUAAGUCUGUCGUGAAAUCCCCGGGCUCAACCUGGGAAUUGCGAUGGAGACUGCAAGGCUAGAGUUUGGCAGAGGGGGGUAGAAUUCCACGUGUAGCUGUGAAAUGCGUAGAUAUGUGGAGGAACACCGAUGGCGAAGGCAGCCCCCUGGGUCAAGACUGACGCUCAUGCACGAAAGCGUGGGGAGCAAACAGGAUUAGAUACCCUGGUAGUCCACGCCCU